rnacentral:lncRNA from 13 species
AUGUGCUUCUCUGGGAUCCUAUGUUUGAAAAAAACAUACCCUACAAAGCUACUGCCCCUUCCUGCUGGACACCAUAAUGAGGACAUAAGCCAGUGCGAAAUUGACCAGAAACCUGAAUUUACGCUGACCCUGAAAAUUCCAGCCUCCCUCAGCCAAACCUCAGCCAACAUUCCGGCCUAUUCACCUCUGCUGACACAGAUGGACUUCACACGCCUGCAUCCCUUGGCCUGGAAGCUUCUCCCUCCUCAGGAGCAGGUCUGCUUCCUGGUGAGCCCAGCCAAUGACACCUCCUGAACCACAAUCUCUGGUGCAGGGGAUGGGAUUGUCCACAGACUGGCAUUUGGGAACCAAUGACGUGGUUAGUGAAUAGAAUAUGUCACAGGAUCUGUAUCGACAUCCAAACCUCAGCAGUGCUGUAUGCUGUUAGCUCGGUCUGAAGUAAAUUGCAUAAUUCCUCGAGCUGCACUCAAGUGAGGACAGUAACUCCUCUGAAAGGUUGUGGUGAGCGUUGUAGAAGAUAUGGAGAGUCCUAGCACACAGCAGGCAAGCCACAAAUGCCAAUCAUUGUUGUGAAUCCCCAUCACGCUACACACAACUCUAUCUGUUUAUUUUAUUUUAUUUUUUAGAGACAAGAUUUCACUGUCACCCAGGCUGGAGUGCAGUGCCAUGACCACAGUUCACUGAGGCCUAAACCCCGGGGCUUGAAUCAUCCUCCCACCUCGGCCUCCAGAGUAGUUGGGACUACAGGUCCAAGACACCAUGUGUCGUUACAUUUACAAAAUGUUUUUAGAGACAGGGUCUCACUAUAUCGCCCCGGCUGGUCUCAAAUUCCUGGCCUUAAGCUAUGCCCUGCCCCAGCCUCCUGAAUACCUGGGAUUCACAACUCUUUAUUUAGUGAAAUGUGAGACUCACAGGUGACCACAGAGGCCAUUAGCAGAUCCAAAACUAUGACGGAGAGGAUGACCUGCUUUGCACAAUAGACUCAAUUUUCUGCCACAGUGAAACUUAUUACAAACAUAAAAUGGUAUAUUAAGUCAAAUAAUGAGCCAUUUGGUUCAUUCACGCCUGUAUUCUGUCUCCAAAAAAGGCAUGAAGAA